rnacentral:miRNA from 1 species
AAAGAAUCAGAUGAGCUGAA